UACGGAGGGUGCAAGCGUUAUCCGGAAUCACUGGGUUUAAAGGGUGCGUAGGCGGUUGUAUAAGUCAGGGGUGAAAUGUUAUCGCUUAACGAUAAAAUGGCCUCUGAAACUGUAUAACUUGAAUAGGGUUGAGGUAGGCGGAAUGUGACAUGUAGCGGUGAAAUGCAUAGAUAUGUCAUGGAACACCAAUUGCGAAGGCAGCUUACUAGACCUUGAUUGACGCUGAGGCACGAAAGCGUGGGGAGCGAACAGG
rnacentral:rRNA from 1 species